AUCAUUUAAAAAUAAAUAAGGAGCAUAAGAUCCACUUACCUCGUUCAUCUUAGAUCUUCAGACUUCGUUAAAAGAAUCAGCUAAUCCUAUUUAAAAUAUCAAAUCAUCAUCAAUUUCUAUUCCAUAAAUAUAAUAAGAUUAAAUCAUAAAGAAAGAGAACUAUUGACCGAAUGUGUCGGACCAUCCAGAUAUCAGGGCAAUUCAGGAUCUCUGAUCUGAGGGUCAGAUUCAAGUGACUUGAUCAAGAAAUCAUGAAGCACAGAUCGAAUUAAGGUCAAGAUCAAUCAAUAGGAUUCUUUAAUAAUGAAUUUGAAAGAUCCUUGAUAUGAUCAAAUGAGGUUGACAUACAGCACGGAUAUCAAAGCAAUUUCGGAUCAUCUUGUUAGAGUCAAUAUGAGCUUCUAAAAGAUGAAGGCAUGACUCGAUACAGGAUUCAUAAACCUUUUU
rnacentral:lncRNA from 1 species